UACGUAGGGGGGCAAGCGUUGUCCGGAUUUAUUGGGCGUAAAGAGCGUGUAGGCGGCCACACAGGUCAGCUGUGAAAACUCGAGGCUCAACCUCGAGACGUCGGUUGAAACCGUAUGGCUAGAGUCCGGAAGAGGAGAGUGGAAUUCCCGGUGUAGCGGUGAAAUGCGCAGAUAUCGGGAAGAACACCCGUGCGAAGGCGGCUCUCUGGGACGGUACUGACGCUGAGACGCGAAAGCGUGGGGGAGCGAACAG
rnacentral:rRNA from 1 species